AAUUUUUUUUUCAUAAAAGAUCACUCCUUUGAGAACAUGUUUUCAUAUUUGUGCUUUUCUUGACAUUUUAGGAAGCAAAAUUACAUGCAAACAUUUGUUCUGCAAACCCAAAGUGUGAAGAAGCUGUGCCUGAGUUUCAGAAUCUGUUUCGUUUGCACAGAGGCCCAUGGAAGAGCCGCGUCUCAGCUUGUGUUCCACACGGAGCAUCAUCUUCUUCAGGCCAAAGGAAACGGAGCAGGUGACACUGCUAAGGGAGGCCAGACUCGAAAUCCCUGUAAACCUGCAUCUCCGUCAAAGGGGCUUCCGGCGGCCGGCGGCGUCUCAGCGGGACACCUGAAAACGGAAUGACAGUCGACAGUCCCAGGAAAACACAGGACCCUGUCAAGAGUCCGGGUCCUUAGGAAGCGUCUCAAAGGCCGGUAUCUUUGAGGAAAGUGGCCUUAUCUGGACUCCAGGGCUGUAAAAACAGGACCUCUCUCUGGAAGCCCCUGCAGAGAUGGGGACCACAGGGCAGCGCCCAUGGCGACACACACGAGCAGGAGGAAAGACACCUGGAAACAGCCUGUGGCCUUCACUGGUCCUGGCUCGGGUCUUGGCCGCCAUCAGAGCCUCAGUGUUUCCCUCAGCGAAAUGACCCUGCUUGGCCCGAGGGGAGAGGCGGGUGGGGAAGAGAGGCCAGGAGAGGAGAGGGGGCCGGGAGAAGGCGCCGCGGCGGUGGGGGUGUGGGAGCACCUGCCAAGCGGGGGGACGGAGACUCCGGGGCACCUGGGAGGCCGCGGAGGAAGUUGAGCAGCAGAGGGGUCGGCAGGGAGAGGCCCCUGAGUGGCCAGGCGCCGCGGACAGUGGCUGUGCAGAGCAGGAGUGGCUGCGGGAGGCAGAGGGGCACGGGGACACCCACGGGGAGGCUUCCACUGUCCCGCUCACAGCGCUGCCGCCUCCGGAUGGUUGGUUCUGGGAACCCUGCCCUCACCCUGGUGCCAGAGGUGCCGAGGGCACCAGACCAACACAGGCGGGGCAGCGAUGCCAGUCAGACCCCUCCAGGCAGCCUGGCUCCGGCCGCAGCCCUGGAGGGAGCUGGACGCCUGCAACCGAGACUCCGUGGGUACGUCCCGCGCUAGGCCCGGCCCGGGAAGGGGAGGGCUCGGAAGGGCGUCCAACCGGAAGCCAGCCCUGCCCCACGUGUGCUGGGACCUGUGCACCAGGGAAGCAGCGCGCCCAGCACCCGGGGCCUGCGCAACGCCCAGAGAGCCGUGACUUCCCUAAGGAGCCACCAAGGUAAGGGCCCUGUGUCCUGGACUGUGUUUCUGUCCUGGACUGUGGACCGCGACGCUCAGCUGAGCGCAGGGGCAAGGACUCCUCCCAGCUCACUGGACAAGGCAGGAUGUGUGCGAGCCGUCGCGACCGGCCGGCAUUUAUCAGCCUUGGACUUGGACGGGUUGGAUAAGCACAAAGUGGCUUUCGGCGACACUUCACAGCCUAGAAACGCCUUCACCGCCGUCCCCUCUGCCACUUGGGCCGCUGUCCCCCCACUGGGCCCGGGCUGGGGUCCUGGAAGAACCGGCCGGCAGCCCCUGCCCCACGGCUCACCACGAGCAUCUCUGCAGAGAACUGGUUCCCGGGCAUUUCAUGGUGAGAAGCCUACGGCAAACUUCCCUAUAACACCAGGCGAAUAUGAGAAGGAGAGCGGGGAACUUGCCCGCCCAGGCGCAGGGACUCUGGGACCCGAGGGGAGCCUCCCAGCACUGGAGGCGUGGCUUCCUCGCCAUCCUUUGGGACCUGGGUUUGUCGGAGCCGCUGCCACGGAGGUGAUAACCCCCAGCCCAGCAGGCAGGGAGCCCUGAGCCCUGACCAGGACGGGGUGAUGGAGGGGCGGCCAGAGAGGCCACAUGGAGGCAACACGGCUGUAUCUUACCUUCCGCACCUAUUCGUGGAUUUUGCCCAAGUUGCCCAGAUUAGCUGGCUGCAGUGGGCUGGACUAUGUCCCCACAAAAAGACAUGUCCAAGUCCCGCCCCCAGGACCUGUGGAAACUGCGUGAACUUACUGGGAAACUGCCUUUGCCGAGGUAAUUAAAGUCAGACCUCAAGUGAGUUGUCCUGUAUCGAAAGCAGCCUUACAUCUCGUGACUCGUGUCCUUCUCAGAGAAAGACGAGGGUGACCGGCACCCGCAGACACGACCCUGGAGACAUUAGAGAAAGGACUCUAAGCUGAAAACCCUCCAAGAAGGAGAACGGCAUACCCAGAUGGCGUCACGAGAAAUUCCAGCAGACAUUUAAAGAGAUGAUGCCAGCUCCACGCAAACUCGUGCAGAAAUUCCAAGAGAACUGAAGAACCCUUUCUCAAGGCUAACAUCCCUCUGAUACCAGACAGGGCAUCACAGGAAAGGAGCCACAUCCUGGGUAAUACAGACGCGGAUCUCCUGCAAAAUGCUUGCAAGUAGAUUGUGACCGUGCACAGAAGGAUAACGCGUCACGCCUGGGCGGGAAAGGACAGGUCUGCUCGCAGUCAGCACUUCUAUUCCAAAGCGUCCUCCGGAGCCCAGCCAGUGAGAAGGGAAUGAAAGGCAGCUGAAGGCAGGCUGUCUUUGUUGGCAGAGAAUCUGUCUUUCUACCCAGAAAUUACAGACCUGAUGAGAAAGGCACCAGACUUUGCCAGGGAAGCUAGUCAGUCCAGCACCAGUUCCCGAAAUGUGUGUUAGAGAUAAACUGUAUUCUGGGCGUUCCCUCCGUGGCUCAGCGCUUAACACACCCGACUAGGAUCCUUGAGGAUGUGGGUUGGAUCCCUGGCCUUGCUCAGUGGGUUAAGGAUCCGGUGUUGCCGUGAGCUGUGGUGUCGGUCGCAGAUGUGGCUCGGAUCUAGCAUUGUGGUGGCUGUGGUGUAGGCUGGCAGCUGUAGCUCUGAUUUGACCCCUAGCCUGGGAAUUUUCAUAUGCUGCGGGUGCGGUCCUAAAAAGCAAAGAAAAAAAAAAGACAUUUUCAACAGGGAUUUCCUGCAUAGCAUAGGGAACUAUGUCCAAUACCUUGUGAUAACCUAUCGCGGAAAAGAAUCGGAGUGUAUACACAUCUCUGGGUCACUUUGCUGUACACCUGAAACUAACACAAUAUUGUAAAUCGACUACACUUCCAUUGUAAACAAGAAAAAAUCGACAUUGUGAAGUACCAUGUACACACAGUACUCACUUAGCGGUAAAUCUGACAAAAGAUAUGCAAGAUUUAUACCUGGAAAACCACAAAACUUUGCUGAGAGAAAUGAAGGAAACCUAAAUAAAUGGAGAGACACCAUGCUGAUGGAUCGAAAGCUCAGUAACGUGAAGAUAUUAUUUCCUCCGAAAUCGAUGCGUAACCGCAGCACGACGCCAAUCCAGAUGCAGAGGGUUUUCCCAGGGAAAUUCACACACCGACGCUAAGAUUCAUGUGCAGAAGGAACUGAGAACGGCUGGAACCACUUUCAAGAAGAACAGCUAAGUUCGGGGCUCAGAUCUAACCAAUUCCAAGACAUGUUCUAAGGCCCCAGGAAUCGAGAUGGCGCAGAAUGGAUGGAUAACGGGCGGUAGAGCGUCCAGACGUGACAGCGCGUGUAUGCAAAGGCACAUAACGUCGAUUGACCCCUGACGAAGGCGCAGAGGCAAUUCCGUGGAGAAGGACAGCCUCUCAGUAAGGUGGCUGGCAACGUGUGCCACAGGAGACAUUAUACAUACAUAACUAUACACACACUCCUCUCGUCAUGUAAAACAUCAGCUCACAGCAGCGUCUACACCUAAAUGUAAACUGGGAAAUUAUGAGACUUCUCGAAGGAAAACAGAAGAGGAAGAGGGAUGGACGGGGCGUUUGGGGUCCGUAGAUGCAAACCAUUGCAUUUCAGGUAGAUAAGCAGUGGGGUCCUGCUGUGCAGCACAGGGAACUCGACCCAGUCACUUGUGAUAGAACAUGAUGGAGGGAAUAUGAGAAAAAGAAUGCACGUCUAAGUAUGACCGGGUCACCUUGCCGGACGGCAGAAAUUGACAGAAGGUGGUAAAUCAACUCUA
rnacentral:lncRNA from 1 species